rnacentral:snRNA from 1 species
AUGUUCGCUUCAGCAGCACAUAUACUAAAACUGGAAUGAUACAGAGAAGACUAGCAUGGCCCCUGCACAAGGAUAACACGCAGAUUCAUGAAGCACUCUCUAUUUUU